CUGGAAAUGAUGUAGGGCAAUUAUGACGCCUCGUACGGCUCCAAGACCACCAUUCGUGGUUGAUUUUUCACACAGUACUCUCUGGAUUGGAGUCAUCCUCUCAUGGUGUAGAAGCCUGACCCCAAAGAUUCUGAAGAUCACCCUGGUGUCCUUGAGAAACGGAUGGUGAAGGAACUUCAAGGGCAACAGAUGCAAAACUUUCCAAGGCUUGUCAGUUCAGUACGUAAGUGAAAAGAGGAAAUCAGAGCUUCUCUUCAAAAAUCUCUACCGUUAAUUUUUAUGAAGGAUCAGGCUGGGAGCAGAUACCAGAUCCCUGGUGGGACUCAAAUUCCAGGGCCCGGAAUUUUGUUGCCGAAUUUAUACGGUUUGGAGAAGCAAGUUUGCUAACUCGCGUUGACCCAACAGAAUGAGCCUGCUCCGCGUGGCCCUGCCUGCUGCUCUUCUGUUUGAAAGGUGUUUAAUUAUUUCUGACAGAGUUCAGCUCCGACAUCUGUUCGUGAGCAGGGAAAGCCCAUUUAG